GACGUAGGGGGCGAGCGUUGUCCGGAAUUAUUGGGCGUAAAGCGCGCGCAGGUGGUUCCUUAAGUCUGAUGUGAAAGCCCACGGCUCAACCGUGGAGGGUCAUUGGAAACUGGGGAACUUGAGUGCAGAAGAGGAAAGUGGAAUUCCAAGUGUAGCGGUGAAAUGCGUAGAGAUUUGGAGGAACACCAGUGGCGAAGGCGACUUUCUGGUCUGUAACUGACACUGAGGCGCGAAAGCGUGGGGAGCAAACAGG
rnacentral:rRNA from 1 species